rnacentral:lncRNA from 1 species
GAGUUAUGUAUGCGUUGGACAUGAACUAUCGUUUCCCAAUUUAUUUGUCGUAUAGCCCACUACCGAUUUCUAAUUUUGAUUAUGACAAAUUGAACACUCUGGAAAUCCGAGCCCUAGCCGUUCUGGAUGCCUUUCGAGUAGUAAAAGUUAAGGACUUGCUACAUAUGGUCGACGACCCGAAACAAAUUUCUAAAUUCCUGGGUAAUGCUUACAUAUGCC